GUAGGUGGCAAGCGUUGUCCGGAAUUAUUGGGCGUAAAGCGCGCGCAGGCGGUCCUUUAAGUCUGAUGUGAAAGCCCACGGGCUCAACCGUGGAGGGCCAUUGGAAACUGGGGGACUUGAGUACAGAAGAGGAAAGCGGAAUUCCACGUGUAGCGGUGAAAUGCGUAGAGAUGUGGAGGAACACCAGUGGCGAAGGCGGCUUUCUGGUCUGUAACUGACGCUGAGGCGCGAAAGCGUGGGGAGCAAACAGGAUUAGAUACCCUGGUAGUCCACGCCGUAAACGAUGAGUGCUAAGUGUUAGGGGGUUUCCGCCCCUUAGUGCUGCAGCUAACGCAUUAAGCACUCCGCCUUGGGAGUACGGCCGCAAAGGCUG
rnacentral:rRNA from 1 species